GGGUCAGUAGGUUGGUCGUGCCACCGGUACGUACUGGUCUCACUGAUUCCUCCUCCCUGAAGAACCGUAAUGCCAUUAAUUUGGUGUUGCGGGGAAACAGGACUGUUACUUUGAAAAAAUUAGAGUGUUUAAAGCAAGCUAACGCUUGAAUACAUUAGCAUGGGAUAAUGAAAUAGGACGAUCGAUCCUAUUUUGUUGGUUUCUAGGAUUGACGUA
rnacentral:rRNA from 1 species